UUCCGGUUGAUCCUGCCGGAAGCCAUUGCUAUCGGAGUCCGAUUUAGCCAUGCUAGUCGUGAGGGUUCAGACCCUCGGCGAAUAGCUCCGUAACACGUGGCCAAACUACCCUCUGGAGAGAGAUAAUCUCGGGAAACUGAGGCUAAUAUCUCAUAACGCACUCACGCUGGAAUGCCGAGUGCGGGAAAUGCUCCGGCGCCAGAGGAUGUGGCUGCGGCCGAUUAGGUAGACGGUGGGGUAACGGCCCACCGUGCCGAUAAUCGGUACGGGUUGUGAGAGCAAGAACCCGGAGAUGGAAUCUGAGACAAGAUUCCAGGCCCUACGGGGCGCAGCAGGCGCGAAACCUUUACACUGCACGCACGUGCGAUAAGGGGACUCCGAGUGCGAGGGCAUACAAGCCCUCGCUUUUGUGUACCGUAAGGAGGUACACGAAUAAGAGCUGGGCAAGACCGGUGCCAGCCGCCGCGGUAAUACCGGCAGCUCGAGUGAUGGCCGCUCUUAUUGGGCCUAAAGCGUCCGUAGCUGGCCAGCCGAGUCCGUCGG
rnacentral:rRNA from 1 species